AAGACAGCAACGCAGCUGUAAAACAACAGAUUUCAGUGUCCGCUUUGAGAAACCAAGUUUUCAUUGGUGAAUACUAGCCAGUUACCCAGCAAUAUGACUGCCUGGCACCAAUUCCAUCUGAUAUCAUUUAUAGGAUGCCACUGUACAUGCACUAAAGCUGUUUAUAUAUGUCAUCAUCAUAUUCUCAUCAUGCCCAUAGAGCUCCAGCGUAUUAUUUCCCUUUAAUAAUUGCUGUAAUUAUGCCCAUCUCAUUCUUGGCUUCCAGAAGAAGCUGCCAGUACCCUUCGAGAUCACAAAGAGUGUGAACUGAAUUUCUUCCAAAGCUGCGUUCGUUCCAGCAUCAUGCCAGCUCUGAAAGAUGCCGAGAGAAUUUCCAGCUGAUGCAGCAGCAACAGAGUCAAGAUAAAAAGCAUUUACACUCCAGAUAAAGUUUGCAUCGCAAUGAGCGUGUUAUUAACAGUGCUUGUGAAACUGACAGCCUCUUAGUGAAGGUUCUCAGCCAUGCAAGAGGGUGUCCUCGACGGCUUCUUCCAGGCAGCUCUGCCAAUGCGCCACAAUCCUGACCUACAGCAGCCCCCGCAGUUCCAGUCCUGGGAGCAUGUGAACGAUUAUGAAAUAUGUGACAGAUGUGUGGAGAGAAUAAAUAUACAGGCCAUUCUAGGCUUUUCUGCAGCUCUCAAGACACAAAUGUGGGUCAGAAAUGGCAGGAGAACAAGUUCUACAACCUGGUGAUGGCUGACAAGUCUUGCUUCUACUGAGCAGGAAAUACUGGAAGAAGAGAGUUUCUCACAGGAUUUCAGAAUGUUGGUCCCUGCUCCAGGCAGCAGUUUAGAAGGGCUCACAUGCAUGAAAAAGACGUGAUCAACUUAUCUGAACUGCCUCAAGCCAGAAACAAACUUAGGUGUUGAAGGAACACAAAAUGGACACUGUGCAGAAUCGAGCACGUGGGUUUAUUACGCACAGUGCUGGCAGAGUGUCACCUUGCUUAUUAGGCUCAGACACUGCCAAUCAAUUGA